rnacentral:ncRNA from 3 species
AGACCGGCUUACUGGUCGUGCUAUUGUACGUACUGGUAUAAUCGGUUUCUCCUUUCUGACGAACUAUAAUGCCAUUAAUUUGGUGUUUUAGGGAAUCAGGACUGUUACUUUGAAAAAAUUAGAGUGUUUAAAGCAGGCUCACGCUUGAAUACAUUAGCAUGGAAUAACGGAAUAGGACGUUUGAUUCUAUUUUGUUGGUUUCUAGGAUCGACGUA